AAGUCGUAACAAGGUUUCCGUAGGUGAACCUGCGGAAGGAUCAUUAAAGAAUCGCCCCGUUUUUUGAAAUGGGUUCUAUUCCCAAACCGUGUAUACAUACCUUUGUUGCUUUGGCAGGCCGCCGUUUAGGCGUUGGCUCCGGCUGACUGCGCCUGCCAGAGGACCCAAACUCGUUUGUUUAGUGAUGUCUGAGUACUAUAUAAUAGUUAAAACUUUCAACAACGGAUCUCUUGGUUCUG
rnacentral:misc_RNA from 1 species